GUAGGGUGCGAGCGUUAAUCGGAAUUACUGGGCGUAAAGCGUGCGCAGGCGGUUUUGUAAGACAGAUGUGAAAUCCCCGGGCUCAACCUGGGACCUGCAUUUGUGACUGCAAAGCUAGAGUACGGUAGAGGGGGAUGGAAUUCCGCGUGUAGCAGUGAAAUGCGUAGAUAUGCGGAGGAACACCGAUGGCGAAGGCAAUCCCCUGGACCUGUACUGACGCUCAUGCACGAAAGCGUGGGGAGCAAACAGGAUUAGAUACCCUGGUAGUCCACGCCCUAAACGAUGUCAACUGGUUGUUGGGUCUUCACUGACUCAGUAACGAAGCUAACGCGUGAAGUUGACCGCCUGGGGAGUACGGCCGCAAGGUUG
rnacentral:rRNA from 1 species